UAUUUUUGGCACCCCGAGGCCCCUCGCAAAGUCUCGCCCCAUUCCGAGUCCGGCGGACGAACUUCGCCCGCGCCCCCCACCAAGGCUAUAGCCCACAACCCGUUUUUUGGCCAUUUUUCCGCUGGGGGGUUUUGGCACCGCGACCUUCGGACGCUUAUUUUUGGGCGCGGCUUUGCCCGCGGCUUAUUUUUGGCACCCCGAGGCCCCUCGCAAACUCUCGUCCCAUUUCGAGUCCGGCGGACGAACUUCGCCCGCGCCCCCCACCAAGGCUAUAGCCCACGACCCGUUUUUUGGCCAUUUUUCCGCUGGGGGGUUUUGGCACCACGGCCUUCGGGCGCUUAUUUUUGGGCGCGGCUUUGCCCGCGGCUUAUUUUUGGCACCCCGAGGCCCCUCGCAAAGUCUCGACCCAUUCCGAGUCCGGCGGAUGAACUUCGCCCGCGCCCCCCACCAAGGCUAUAGCCCACAACCCGUUUUUUGGCCAUUUUUCCGCUGGGGGGUUUGGGCACCGCGACCUUCGGGCGCUUAUUUUUGGGCGCGGCUUUGCCCGCGGCUUAUUUUUGUCACCCCGAGGCCCCUCGCAAAGUCUCGCCCAUUCCGAGUCCGGCGGACGAACUUCGCCCGCGCCCCCCACGAAGGCUAUAGCCCACAACCCGUUUUUUGGCCAUAUUUCCACUGGGGAGUUUUGGCACCGCGACCUUCGGGCUCUGAUUUUUGGGCGCGGCUUUGCCCGCGGCUUAUUUUUGGCACCCCGAGGCCCCUCGCAAAGUCUCGCCCCAUUCCGAGUCCGGCGGACGAACUUCGCCCCGCGCCCCCCACCAAGGCUAUAGCCCACGACCCGUUUUUUGGCCAUUUUUCCAACUGGGGGGUUUUGGCACCGCGACCUUCGGGCGCUUAUUUUUGGGCGCGGCUUUGCCCGCAGCUUAUUUUUGGCACCCCGAGGCCCCUCGCCAAAGUCUGGUCCCAUUCCGAGUCCGGCGGACGAACUUCGACCGCGCCCCGCACCAAGGCUAUAGCCCACGACCCGUUUUUUCGCCAUUUUUCCGCUGGGGGGUUUUGGCACCACGGCCUUAAGGCGCUUAUUUUUGGGCGCGGCUUUGCCCGCGGCUUAUUUUUGUCACCCCGAGGCCCCUCGCAAAGUCUCGUCCAUUCCGAAUCCCGGGGAAGAACUUCCCCCGCGCCCCCCACCAAGGCUAUAGCCCACAACCCGUUUUUUGGCCAUAUUUCCACUGGGGAGUUUUGGCACCGCGACCUUCGGGCCCUGAUUUUUGGGCGCGGCUUUGCCCGCGGCUUAUUUUUGGCACCCCGAGGCCCCUCGCAAAGUCUCGUCCCAUUCCGAGUCCGGCGGACGAACUUCGCCCGCGCCCCCCACCAAGGCUAUAGCCCACGACCCGUUUUUUGGCCAUUUUUCCGCUGGGGGGUUUUGGCACCACGACCUUCGGGCCCUUAUUUUUGGGCGCGGCUUUGCCCGCGGCUUAUUUUUGGCACCCCGAGGCCCCUCGCAAAGUCUCGCCCCAUUCCGAGUCCGGCNN
rnacentral:lncRNA from 1 species